rnacentral:rRNA from 1 species
AACGCGAAGAACCUUACCUGGGUUUGACAUGCACCGGAAACCCUCAGAGAUGGGGGCCCCGCAAGGUCGGUGUGCAGGUGGUGCAUGGCUGUCGUCAGCUCGUGUCGUGAGAUGUUGGGUUAAGUCCCGCAACGAGCGCAACCCUUAUUCCAUGUUGCCAGCGGGUAAUGCCGGGGACUCAUGGGAGACUGCCGGGGUCAACUCGGAGGAAGGUGGGGAUGACGUCAAGUCAUCAUGCCCCUUAUGUCCAGGGCUUCACACAUGCUACAAUGGCCGGUACAAAGGGCUGCCAAGCCGUGAGGUGGAGCGAAUCCCAUAAAGCCGGUCUCAGUUCGGAUCGGGGUCUGCAACUCGACCCCGUGAAGUCGGAGUCGCUAGUAAUCGCAGAUCAGCAACGCUGCGGUGAAUACGUUCCCGGGCCUUGUACACACCGUAGUAC